GGCACUAAUUCAGUAUUACCAAUCUCAAGUGUUGAAAAAGCAGGCUUCAGAACAUCCAAAGCUAGCUGUUCUGUUGUCACAGUACAAGCCCCUGUGAGGUCAUUGGCUCAACAUCCCUGGCUAACUGUUCCUGCAUCCAGGUUCAGGCCUCUGUGACAUCACUAGCUCACCACUUCUAACCUGUUGGACUGAUGUCAUAGCACAGGUCUCUGAGAGUACUUGUUCAACAACUCUAACUGGCUGGACUUACAUCAAGGUUUCUGCUCCACUUACUGGUGGGAAAGGCUUGGAGAUCAGUAAACUCUUGAAUCAGGCACAGUUUCUCUUACUGCUCCUGCCUCAGAUUCUCCUGCCUGAUUUCACCACACUCUCUCCACUUUACCAGGCAAUGCAGAAACAGCAAGAGGAGUAGCUCUGGAGGAAAUGAACUCCUUCAAGCUCAAGAGAAGGAUUCCCUCUCUGAUUUCAACAGAAAUCUUCAUCUUUAACUUAAACUCCAGUCCUUCAUCCUUGCUCUUCUAACAGAGAAUCCAGAGGGUGGUAGUCUUCAGAAACCCUUCCUUCAUUACUACUGCUUCACUGGAAACAGCAAUAUUGCUCUACAAUGUUUAACUUUGACUUCCCAAUUCACUACCAUGAAAGGAGACCUGUGAUGUAACAAAUAUGGAAUAGUGGGAUCACCAAAUGAACCAAACUGGACUUAUUCACAUAAUUCAUGCUACAUAAGGAAGGUUCAAAAUGAAUGAAUAUACUCCAACAAGGAUAGAGGAGAAAGUGUUUUCAUCAUAGUCUACUAUGAGAUCAAGAAGGAUGAGAUAAGAAAGAGAGCAAUUAUUAGAGGUGGUAGAGGCCCCUGGAGCAGAACUUAGGGGCUGGAGGUGGACCUGUCUGAACUCUGGACUCUGCUAACCCUGAACAACAAACGGCACCCAAUUCUCCAUGUGGAUUGUAUCAGGAGCCUUAGUGCCUAACUCAGUGCUGUGAAUUCCAUGAAAUAGUAAGGCAUCUAAAGCUUGCCUUAGGACUGAGCCUUUUGUGAGGGAUGAUAUGUGACUUCACUUUAGAAGAAAAGGAGGGGGCACCUCCCCCACCGCUCCCGUUGGCCAUGGUUCCCAGCCAAUGGGAGCUGCAGAACCAGGGCUUCUUGGGACGAAGAAGAGGCAGCAUGUGGAUCUAGGAGCUGGAGGUCGCUGCCUCCCAGAAGCGGUUUCCCCAAAGAAGGUGAUUGGACGUCUAACAUUGUGAAUGCCAGUGAAAAUGAGACCAUUGAAGCCAGACUUCUGACAACGUGUAGCAGCCUGAAAGCUGAAAAAGGCACCAAGACCAGCAAAAAAAGAGAGAGAAAGAAAAGCCCCAUGACUACAUUGUAAUUGUCAGAUUACGAAGGAGGAAAUUGCUGUGUGAGCACCCACAGAUGCUUUGAAGGAACCUGUUUGCAUCCUGCAUGACUACUACCUUGGAGAAGCAGGGAGGUGAUUGGCAGGAGGAAGACCAGCUGACCACUCCCUUAGCUGCUCCUGAGCCUGCAUGCAACAGAGGAGUUGGGGUAAUAGGCAAAGCCAAGAGCUUCUUCAUGCAUAUAGUCAGUGGUUGGGUUUGACAGAUGAUAGAGCCAAUGCUCUGAGGUUUGUCACUGAAAGCUGCGCAAGAACACCGUGUAGUUGUGCUUGAAGAACAGUGGAUCCAGUGCACAUUCGUUGCCUGCACGUCCUGUCUAUGCUAGACUGAAAUGGCAGCUUUGCUUGGUUCUAGUGCAGUUGCAGUGGUACCUGGAAUGCUUGGGAAGCAUUUGGAGCACUUGUAUGUGUUGACAUGAAGUCUUUCAUAAGUGCUUUAGCUGGUGCUGUGUGCACUAAAAUUCACUAGUGUAGACAGACCUAGAGGGAAACCCCUCUGGUAAGGGUUGAAUAUGUUACAACCCUAAUAAAGGAAUGGAGUUAAGGCUCCUGUAACUGCAGUCAA